UAGUUCGUUACCCUGCUGGAAUUAAGCAUAUAAUUAAGCGGAGGAAAAGAAACUAACCAGGAUUCCCUCAGUAAGGGCGACUGAAGCGGGAAGUGCUCAGGAUGCGAAUCUGCGCCAUCAAUUGAUGCGGGCGCCGAAUUGUGGUCUGUAGACGGUGGCAUUACUAGCCGGGCCAAGUCCCUUGGAACAGGGCGGCUGAGAGGGUGAGACCCCCGUAUGCCUGGCAAGGUGAGCCUCCUGUCGACGAGUCGAGUUGUUUGGGAUUGCAGCUCAAAGUGGGUGGUAAAUUCCAUCUAAAGCUAAAUAUUGGUGGGAGACCGAUAGCGUACAAGUACCGUGAGGGAAAGAUGCAAAGAACUUUGAAAAGAGAGUUAAAUAGUACCUGAAAUUGCUGAAAGGGAAGCGAAGGAAACCAGUGUCUGCUGUGUCAUACUUCCCUGCCCGCUUGCGGGUUGGGCGCUGUGGCUUGCCGUAGUUGUUCUUUGUUGAGUGUGCCGGAAGAGCGCGUCAGGAGUUGACUGUCGUUGCUAGCGGUGGGCUGACCGAGGCCGACGAAACGGAAC
rnacentral:rRNA from 1 species